GACAAUUUAAUAAGCCAGAAGAAAAAUCUGAUAAGUGAUAGAGAUGGAUUAUUAUCUAAGAAUGUCUAUCUAACAAAAAGUGAAAAGUUUCAUCAGGAGAAAACUGAACUUCGGAAAAGUCAUCUUGGUAAUUGGACACAAUCUGUUAAAAAUGUUGUGUAGUUCCUUACAAAUGAGAAAAGUGCUAAUAACUGGUUGUGUUACAGAUGGAUGGAUUUACUAUCAAUCCAGUUUCUGCUUCAUUUCCUCUGAGAAGAAGAGCUGGACUGAGAACAGAAGAUACUGUACAGAGAGAGGAGCAGAUCUGAUCAUCAUAAACAACAGAGAGGAACAAGAGUUUGCUAAAAAGUUUUCUCAUGGUAAUGCAUUCUGGAUUGGUCUGACUGACAUUGAUGUGGAGGGCAGAUAGAAAUGGGUUGAUGGCAGCACACUGACCUCUAGUUUCAGGUUCUGGGGUAUGCAGAGCCAAAUGGACAUGGA